UCCGACAAAAUUUGUGACACAAAUUAACGAGUAGCUGUUGCGACGAAAAUCACACGAGUCGACGAAGGAGACGAGUGUGAUUUUCCAAAAGCAACAGCUACGAGUUAAUUUUCACACAAAUUUUGCAGAAAAAAUCAGAUCACGAGUUAUAUUCGGCUUGACAAUCCAAAGAGAAAAUUUUUAUUUACUUUUUACGGACAAUAAUUCACAUAAUUUAUAGCGUAGUCGUUGAGUAACCAUACCUACUUAGUCUAAAUAGUAACAAAACAACAAGGCAAAACGUAAAUAAAUUUCUAAACAUCAAAUUUUGUGUGUGCUGCUGGUUGAUUUUCUUAAUUCUGGGAGCAAGAUUUGGUAACAAGACUGUGUAUGAAAUUCGAAAUGCAGUGAAAGAAAGUCAGUGCCGAAAGACCGCAAGAACGCAAGAUUCAAUUUGGAAGCAGUUUACAGAAUUUUCAGUCGAAAUGAACGAGGUGGCCAGUAUUUUGGAAGAUUAUGCCUUUAACGCCAACAGAAAAGUAAUUUGUAUGUUACAUUAUCAUUUUUUUAUUAAAGUUAAUUUGACAAGUUUGACAAAUUAA